rnacentral:rRNA from 1 species
CCGGGAAUGGCCUCGCGUGUGCAUGGAGAUUAGAGUUUGAUCCUGGCUCAGAUUGAACGCUGGCGGCAGGCCUAACACAUGCAAGUCGAGCGGCAGCACAGAGAAACUUGUUUCUCGGGUGGCGAGCGGCGGACGGGUGAGUAAUGCCUGGGAAAUUGCCCUGAUGUGGGGGAUAACCAUUGGAAACGAUGGCUAAUACCGCAUGAUAGCUUCGGCUCAAAGAGGGGGACCUUCGGGCCUCUCGCGUCAGGAUAUGCCCAGGUGGGAUUAGCUAGUUGGUGAGGUAAUGGCUCACCAAGGCGACGAUCCCUAGCUGGUCUGAGAGGAUGAUCAGCCACACUGGAACUGAGACACGGUCCAGACUCCUACGGGAGGCAGCAGUGGGGAAUAUUGCACAAUGGGCGCAAGCCUGAUGCAGCCAUGCCGCGUGUGUGAAGAAGGCCUUCGGGUUGUAAAGCACUUUCAGUCAGGAGGAAAGGUUAGUAGUUAAUACCUGCUAGCUGUGACGUUACUGACAGAAGAAGCACCGGCUAACUCCGUGCCAGCAGCCGCGGUAA